rnacentral:rRNA from 1 species
CAGUCGCCCGGUAACACGUAGGUGGCAAGCGUUGUCCGGAAUUAUUGGGCGUAAAGGGCUCGCAGGCGGUUUCUUAAGUCUGAUGUGAAAGCCCCCGGCUCAACCGGGGAGGGUCAUUGGAAACUGGGAAACUUGAGUGCAGAAGAGGAGAGUGGAAUUCCACGUGUAGCGGUGAAAUGCGUAGAGAUGUGGAGGAACGCCAGUGGCGAAGGCGACUCUCUGGUCUGUAACUGACGCUGAGGAGCGAAAGCGUGGGGAGCGAACAGGAUUAGAUACCCCCGUAGUCCCUGUCUCUUAUACC